rnacentral:rRNA from 1 species
GACGGGAGAGACUAACAGGAUUCCCCUAGUAACUGCGAGUGAAGCGGGAAAAGCUCAAAUUUAAAAUCUGGCAGUCUCUGGCUGUCCGAGUUGUAAUCUAGAGAAGUAAUGCCCGUGCUGGACCGUGUAUAAGUCUCCUGGGAUGGGGCGUCAUAGAGGGUGAGAAUCCCGUCUUUGACACGGACUACCAGUGCAUUGUGGUAUGCUCUCAAAGAGUCGAGUUGUUUGGGAAUGCAGCUCAAAAUGGGUGGUAAAUUCCAUCUAAAGCUAAAUAUUGGCGAGAGACCGAUAGCGAACAAGUACCGUGAGGGAAAGAUGAAAAGAACUUUGGAAAGAGAGUUAAACAGUACGUGAAAUUGCUGAAAGGGAAACGCUUGAAGUCAGUCGCGUUGGCCGGGAAUCAGCCUUGCUUUUGCAUGGUGUACUUUCUGGUUGACGGGUCAGCAUCAAUUUUGACCRCUGGAAAAAGGCCUGGGGAAUGUGGCAGCUUCGGCUGUGUUAUAGCCCCUAGUCGCAUACAGUGGUUGGGAUUGAGGAACUCAGCACGCCGCAAGGCCGGGUUUCGACCACGUUCGUGCUUAGGAUGCUGGCAUAAUGGCUUUAAGCGACCCGUCUUGAAACACGGACCAAGGAGUCUAACAUGCCUGCGAGUAUUUGGGUGGAAAACCCAAGUGCGUAAUGAAAGUGAAAGUUGAGAUCCCUGUCGUGGGGAGCAUCGACGCCCGGACCAGAACUUUUGGGACGGAUCCGCGGUGGAGCAUGUAUGUUGGGACCCGAAAGAUGGUGAACUAUGCCUGAAUAGGGUGAAGCCAGAGGAAACUCUGGUGGAGGCUCGUAGCGAUUCUGACGUGCAAAUCGAUCGUCAAAUUUGGGUAUAGGGGCGAAAGACUAAUCGAACCAUCUGGGUGCCUC